UGGAGAAGUUGUCCUUCUAAUAGGGAGC
rnacentral:piRNA from 1 species